rnacentral:rRNA from 1 species
GACGAACGCUGGCGGCGUGCUUAACACAUGCAAGUCGAACGGUGAAGCGCCUUCCUUUUUGGUGGGUGUGGAUGAGUGGCGAACGGGUGAGUAACACGUGAGUAACCUGCCCCCUUCUUCUGGAUAACCGCAUGAAAGUGUGGCUAAUACGGGAUAUUCUGGGUCUGUCGCAUGAUGGGUCUGGGAAAGAUAUUGUUUCGGUGGGGGAUGGGCUCGCGGCCUAUCAGCUUGUUGGUGGGGUGAUGGCCUACCAAGGCGGUGACGGGUAGCCGGCCUGGGAGGGUGGACGGUCACACUGGGACUGAGACACGGCCCAGACUCCGACGGGAGGCAGCAGUGGGGAAUAUUGCACAAUGGGCGCAAGCAUGAUGCAGCGACGCCGCGUGAGGGAUGGAGGCCUUCGGGUUGUGAACCUCUUUCGCCAGUGAAGCAGGCCUGCCUCGUUUGUGGGUGGGUUGACGGUAGCUGGAUAAGAAGCGCCGGCUAACUACGUG